UUAGCCUCUUCUCUUACCAUAUUCAUCUCUUCUGUAUUACUAUCUUCUCCAUCUCUUCUAUGUUAUCAUCUACUCCAUCUGUUUUCUGUUACAAUCUUGCUAAAUAUUACUUUUAAAUGAUUGUUUCUUUCUUUUACAUCAACUAAAUGAUAAAUCUUUAUAAGGAACUAUAUGAGACUGUUAGGAACUAAAAGAGGAAACUUUGAUUGAACACAUAAGAGAAGAAAAAGUUGAUGUUUUUACAGAUAAGAUUAAGGUUUCAAUGAGAAUCGAUGAUGGAGAUAAAGAUCAUUAUUCUGAGAUUUAGAGAAAUGGAAAGGAAUCAGGGAUAGUUGAUGGUCAUGUUGUCGAUCCUUGUGUUGUUUCAAACUCAACAGAAAGGUAAGUUGAACUUAGGGUUUCUCUAAUUAACUUUAUUUUUGUGUGAAAUUGAUUUAUAGAUUGAUCAAUUAGUGAUGGGUUUGCUUUUAAUUGAAGUUUGGAUGACGUAUAGGGUUUAAUUUCAGUUUCUAUAAUGAAUGAAUUGGGAAUUAGGGUUUAUCCAAAGUUAGGUUUUUGGUUAUAAACUUAGACCAGUGUUUUUGAGUUUGAAUGAUAGAUAAAGAGGAGCGGAAGCUGAUACGGUCGAUAUGUAAUGCAGCUGUAGUUGUGGCUAGGGAUGUGUUGCAUGACAGGGAUGGAGUUGUUGGUUUUAUUGAUCCAUGAAUGGUUUGAAGUAAGAUGUAUGUUGUUACUAAGUGCCCUGAGCACACAUGGAUUUGUAGGCUAGGAAACACAUGCUCAAGGUUCUUGUAUAAGUCAUUAGCAUUACAUUUUCACUCAAGUACCAUCGAUUUAUCUGAAUCAAGGUGGUUGGGACCUUUGGAUGCUCAUAAUUUUUCUGCUGUUUUGCGUUUAUGCUUUAUCUUUGCAGUAAGACAUGCUUUAUUUUUCGAUACUGGAUAGUUCCCAUGCAAUCGUUCGUAUAGUUAGUAUUCUAUCAGAUUAAACUGUGUAUCCAUAGUAUUUGAUAACAUUUAUAACUUGGAUACUUGUGUAUUUUCUGCGUUUGGAACGGAUUGGACUUCUCUUUUUUUCUUGAUCGAGCUUUCGUUGAAAAAGUUAUACUUGCAUAUGACGGCCAUUAGCAUCGCUUUCCUUUACUGCAGCGAUGAAAUUUGAUUGGAGACCACUUGCUAUUGUUGCUGCUUUCAUGACUGCCAUUAGCAUUUCUUUCCUAAACAAUAGAUAUCAUCAUUUUUUGCUCUAGUUCUUUCAUUUCGUAUAUAGAAAUCAAACUGGAAGGGAGAGGACUUCACUUUUCAGAAUGGAAGAUGGAACAUUAGCUGUCUCUCUAAAGAUGGAAGAUGGAACAUUAGCUGGAAGGGAGAGGACUUCACUCUUCAGAAUGGAAGAUGGAACAUUAGUUGGUCUCUCUAAAGAUUCUUAAAUUGAGGCAUCUAUAUCUUAGGUUACAUUGUUUCCUUUCGUCAGUGGCUGUAUUUGAGCUUGUUUAUGUUUCUACCUGGUGCAACUUGGUGAUUUGAAUUCGGUGUUGGCCUUUGAGCACUCAUGUUGUGUUUAAAGUUCCCACUAAUAACUUUAGGAUGGAUGUAUCACAUGGAUAUCCUUCACAAUCUGAUAUUCCAUCUUUAAUUGAGGUAAAAUUCUUAUUGUUGUUGUUUU